rnacentral:rRNA from 1 species
AUUGAACGCUGGCGGCAGGCCUAAUACAUGCAAGUCGAGCGGAGCGGCGGACGGGUGAGUGAUGACUAGGAAUCUGCCUGGUAUUGGGGGCUAACGUCAGGACAGGGGCGCUAAUACCGCAUACUUUCAGCUGAGCCUAGGUGGGAUUAGCUAGUUGGUGAGGUAAAGGCCUAACAAGGCGACGAUCCGUAACUGGUCUGAGAGGCUGAUCAGUCACACUGGAACUGAGACACGGUCCAGACUCCUACGGGAGGCAGCAGUGGGGAAUAUUGGGCAAUGGGCGAAAGCCUGAUGCAGCCAUGCCGCGUGAGUGAUGAAGGUCUUCGGAUUGUAAAGCACUUUAAUUUGGGAAGCGUUACCUAAUCAAUAAGCACCGGCUAACUACGUGCCAGCAGCCGCGGUAAUUC